GAUGAACGCUGGCGGCGUGCCUAAUACAUGCAAGUCGAGCGGACGGACGAGAAGCUUGCGUCCCUGAGGUUAGCGGCGGACGGGCGAGUAACACGUGGAUCACCUACCUAUAAUACUGGGAUAACUUCGGGAAACCGUAUCCAAUACCGGCGCAUAUGUUGAACCGCAUGGUUCAAAAGUGAAAGACGGUCUUGCUGUCACUAAGAGACGGAGCCGCGCUGCAUUAGCUAGUUGGUAAGGUAACGGCUUACCAAGGCAACGAUGCAUAGCCGACCUGAGAGGGUGAUCGGCCACACUGGAACUGAGACACGGUCCAGACUCCUACGGGAGGCAGCAGUAGGGAAUCUUCCGCAAUGGGCGCAGGCCUGACGGAGCAACGCCGCGUGAGUGAUGAAGGUCUUCGGAUCGUAAAACUCUGUUAUUAGGGAAGAACAUAUGUGUGAGUAACCGUGCACAUCUUGACGGUACCUAAUCAGAAAGCCCCGGCUAACUACGUG
rnacentral:rRNA from 1 species